UUUAGGGCUAAGUCAAAUGCUAAGAAAACAGUUUCUGUUCCACAAUACAGGUAUAAAGACUACAGAGAGAACAAUCUAUCAUCAUGGAUAUACAAGAAAGUAAGUUUUAAGGCAUAAACAAUAAGCACAAUUUAUUUUAACAUUCAUUUUACGUAUAAAUUUUGUAAAAUAUAUUAAAAAUUUGCUAGACUACAAUCUUUAAACAUUUUGUUUCGUUUAACAUAGAACAUUGAAUCAAAUAAACUCAUCAUAGAUAGAUACCAGGAUUAAAAUUUGAUAUUUACGCCAGACACUCAUUUCGUCUACAAAAAACUCAUCAGUGACGCGCGAAUCAAAAAAUGUUUCAAAGGCAAAAUAAAGUACGAAGUUGAAGAGCAAAGUUGUUAAAACUAGAAUAAAACACGAUAAACAACGAACGCGUUGAACAUCGGCAAUCGCCUUAAUUGACAAAUAAGAUACAAACUAGAUGGUAAACCAAUAACUAAGCCAAUACAGCAGAAGGAGACAGGAUUUGAUAGUGUUAAAAUACGUGGUAAAAAUGCCAUUGCAUCCACAACAUCCACCAUAUGCAUGCAGUGGCAGAUCUAGAAGGUAGUUCAUGGGGUUAAACGCCCCUUUUUCUGAUGAUCGAUGCAAUUGAAUGAGGGCAUGUGGUUGGACCCCUCCUUUUGGCACUAUCCUGGGCUGUUGGGAAUCCCCUGUUUAAAAAUGGUUAGAUCCGCCCCUGAUCUGACUAUCUGACUAAAUGACAAGGAUGUAAAACACUUCAAAAUUCUUUCCUCCCUCGGAAAUUUAAAGUAACCAAAAAUGAACGAACAGUGAAAUGAACUUGAAACUAUCAUAAUAAGCUAGGGUUUCGUGCUUUAUUUCAGUGUAAGUUGCUCUUCUGUAGGCUUACCUUUUUUUUUAAACGCAUUCCGUAGAUGCGUCAACAUUGUUUACAAUAUUUAUGUCACCAGUUAUAACGAAACCAGUCGGAAUAUCAAAGAACUGGGAAUUUCAACUCGAUUUCAAUAGAUUAGACUAGUAGUACAAGAAAUUAAAAAUCGAUCGAAAGAAAAUGGAAAAAAAUGUAAAUUUUUGAAAGUCUUCAUCUGUAGUCAAUGAUUCUAAUUGUGCCACAUUUAUUAUAAUAAGGGAAUUUAAAAUAUUGAAUUGUUGAACAGGUGUUUUAAAUUACUAGUAAUCAAACCAAGCCUAGGCUCCGUGUUGGAGGCCAUACAUUGACCGAUAAUGGUUUACUUUUAUAAAUUGUGACCUGGAUGGAAAGUUGUCUCAUUGGCACUCAUACCACAUCUUCCUAUAUCUAUACAAAGAUAAUUUCUGUACUGGAAAACUGCCAUAAAAGAGAGAAAAACAUAUUGCGCAUUAAAACAUUAAUUACAAGAGAGGGGGUAAUUAUUCAACUGUUGUUAUGUUUUUGUUGUCAAAAAAUUCAAUUUAAGGGUAAGCAAUGAAUAAAAGAAACGUUUUCGUUUUAAAACCAUCUUGUUAAUCUUUAAUCUCUGGAGCUAUAUAAACUAAAAAGAUGUACACAGGAUAGUUCUUCCAGCAGAAUAUUAAGUAUAUAGUUUAACAAUUUGACAUACAGAAAUUUAAGGGUUCCCUUAUGAACUGUUCGUUGUCACGAUUUCAGUUCGUUAUUAAUUUGUUCUUGACUGGAUGGCAAAAACAAAUACCUUGACAAUUCGAUAUUAACAUCCAAGUCAAGUUACAUAACAUAUCUUUUUAAUAAGAAAAACAUGUUUCUUAAAUGCAAGAGUGUCAAAAAGCCAACUAAUUUAGCCUUACAUAUUUAUAUAUCUAUCUUGUUCGUAUAUUGUAAAUCUUAGGACUAUAUAUACAUAUAAAAAUAAACUUAAAUGUUUUAAGAUGUGUAUUCAAGAAUUGAAUGCUUCUUUUUGUAACUUCAUUGGGGGUAUAAAAGCGUUGAUCGAAGUACAUUUUGUAUGAAGCGCAACUUAACAAAAUAUGCGCACGAUCAAUGCUUUUACAACCAUACGAAGUGACAAAAAGAAGCAUUCAAUACUUAUAAUUACAUUUUUUGGGUAGGAUCAUGAAAACACGCUUUUUAUCAAGUUUUUAUUUAAUUCACCUUAGCACUUUAUUGCGGGACCUCGUGUCAUCGUGGAUGAUGAAUUUUAUUGUGUAAUGCAAUUGACUAAGGAAUAACGCGAGAUGUGCAGUUAGCCAAUCAUAAUAACUUAUUGUAAUGAAACAUACAGUUAAUGUAAUUAUUACACUAUAUUGUAUAUUGAUGAAAAACCUACAAAAGUUAUAUCCACAGAUAAAUACAUUUUUUGAAAUUUUUUUUUUUAGUUUAUGGACGCUCAAACGAGAUGACGUAUUCGGACAGAAACCAUUUGUUGUAUGUAACUCAUCUGUUUGCGAUUUUUUUACUUUGUAUUAAAAACAUAUAGAAAGA
rnacentral:lncRNA from 1 species